AAAGUGCCUAAGUCAGCUACUUCGUUCGCAUUUUCCCGAUUUCUUCGGUCCUCAAACAAAUAUUGCUGCAGAUGUGAUAAUUUAUUGGUAAGAACGAAGUUUUUUCCCAUGGUAAAUUUUACAGACAUGCGCGACGCCAAAAUUGGAAUAUAGUGCGGAACCUGAAUACUAAAAAUGCUGCAGCUUACCUAUAACAAAGCUGUGUCAAUUAGAACCAUGUAACAUGGUCUAUUUUUCCAGGAUUGAAUCAAUAUACCCACAAUGUGGAUUGAAGGAACGCGUUCGACCUGAUGUAAUCUUCGCAGCUGCAUUCUCCGGAGGCUCCAAAAUUUCAAUGGUAUGUAGCAGUACUGAACAAUUGUGAUCUAUUCACUAAAAUUUUCCGUUAUAUCUCCCACUGUCCGCCAGUGAAAGUAUUAUUUCUACGUAAAGUUAAGAGACUUACAAUGAUAUGGAAAUGCCAAUAUCAUCUUCCUAACUUAGACAUACAUGAUCAUGAUAGAAUUAGAAGCGAAAGUAUAAAAUUGAUAGUUCCGGUAGGAUACGGCAGGUAUGAAGAUUGUUUUUAUAGAAGUCGAUUUGAAAGCGAGCGGAGGGCAAUAUUUGUGAUGGCAUAUAUCACACGACCUUCCUUCUGCCAAACUCAAGACCAAACUCCCGUAUGAAGGAUAUCCCAGCGGAGAUAUAUCAGCUUCCACAUUGAUAUGCUUCCCUCCCCCUUCUUACGGAAGUUUGGCAGAAGGAAGAUCGUGCGAUAUAUACCAUCAUAAAUAUUGUCCUCCGCUCGCUUUCAAAUCGACUUCUAUAAAAACGUUCUUCAUGCCUGCCUUAUCUA